CUACGGGGGGCAGCAGUGAGGAAUAUUGCACAAUGGAGGAAACUCUGAUGCAGCAACGCCGCGCGGAGGAUGACGCAUUUCGGUGUGUAAACUCCUUUUAUAUGUCAAGAAAAUGACGGUAGCAUAUGAAUAAGCUCCGGCUAACUCCGUGCCAGCAGCCGCGGUAAUACGGAGGGAGCAAGCGUUACUCGGAAUCACUGGGCGUAAAGGACGCGUAGGCGGGAUAGAAAGUCAGGUGUGAAAUCCUAUGGCUCAACCAUAGAACUGCACUUGAAACUUCUAACCUAGAGUAUGGGAGGGGAAGAUGGAAUUAGUGGUGUAGGGGUAAAAUCCGUAGAUAUCACUAGGAAUACCAAAAGCGAAGGCGAUCUUCUGGAACAAUACUGACGCUAAGGCGUGAAAGCGUGGGGAGCAAACAGGAUUAGAUACCCCUGUAGUC
rnacentral:rRNA from 1 species